rnacentral:misc_RNA from 1 species
AAGCUGCAAGAGAACGAGAAACCUGUAGAUAAUUGGCAAGCCAAACAGUUAACCCGAAGUCAUAACAUAAAAACUUGUAAUGUUUAACCUUUGGAUAAUUGACAUAUAUAGCCUAACCUAAUAUCUACCAUCUGUCCCUAUGAUUUCCUUGUUACUACCUAACUUUUUUCCAUUUUUAAUGAAAAAUUUCUCUCAAACUUCAAAUGCUAUCUAAUUUUCCUAGUUCCUCACAUUUCUUUCUACAUUACAGUAUGCUACAUGUACAUAUGCAAAUGCAUGUUAGAUGACUAUCUUGUUAGCAAUACAUCUAAUCAACUAUUUACGACCUUGAAGGUAGUAUUUUUGAGCUUAGCAUGCCUCUGCCUACUUUUUGCCAUCACAAUUUGAUCAUUUCUCUUGUAACAUAUACCACAUACUUGGUUAAAUUUUGCAUAUACGUGUUGUGUUCAUUAUUUUGUUAUUUCUCAUCAUUAUGAUUUCCCUCCAUCCUCACUUCCACUAGCAUAAUACUAGACAACUAUUUCUAAAGGGGUAAAUUACUAUAACGCUCCUAAUUAUGUCAAAAUUUAUUAGUUGGUCCCUAAACGUUUAAAAGGCAAUUAGUCCUUCCGUCUAAUUUUCUAUGAUUUUCGUGAGUCAAAGUCAAUAGCUAGAUGCCCAAGUCCAAGGAAAGAGAAAAUUAUUUUAUCCUCAAAAUGCCCUUGUAUUUUAUCCUGUUGUGCACUUGUAUACUUCGAAGGAGCCUACCUGUCUUAAUACUCUGAAACUUUAUCCAUCUUUUAUUCUAUUAAUAAUCCUUCCUUUGUCUAGUUAAUAACACCACAAAGUCCUAGUGAGUUCAAUAAGCCCAUUGGGCUAGAAGUUUCUCAAGCUCAAAAGUCUUAUCUUUAUUUUAUAAUUAGAAACCAAGGUGAUGCAGUCAAGGAAAUUCAGAUUUAGGAAUUAUUUUGAUUUA